GGAGAGGUGCGAGAGUGGCCGAAUCGGGCGGCCUCGAAAGCCGCUGCGCGGGUAUCCCCCGCGCCGUGGGUUCGAAUCCCACCCUCUCCG
rnacentral:tRNA from 1 species